CGGAUACAUAACUUCCUGUCGGCCUGAUUGAAGUCGAUCGUUUUAUCAUUAUCUCACUAGCUAGCUAUUAACGUGCUAGCCUAUAAGGUGGCUAGCAAUUAACCAACGCCCCCCUCCUUUGCCAACCAUGACACUGUUUUACUCAAUGCUAACAGUGACGGAUGUACAUCGUCUGGCCAAGACAAGUAGCAAAGCACCGACCUCCAAGUUGGAAAAAUAAUUCAAACUUUGUCUCCAGUUACCUUUUCAACUAUGAAGGUUGUAAUGAAGCCCUCUGAGCCAGUAACAAUUACACAAUAUCACUGUUCAUGUGUUGAUGGCAGUGCAGUAUGCAACCACAGUUGCAUUACUAUUCCAGUCUGCACACUAUUCCAAGAUGGGAACACCAAUCAUCCCACCUGUGCGCAGCUGGACAGAUACCAAGCAGCAGUGGCAUGCAGCCAUGGACUAGGUUAUGUUUAUAUAACUAUACCACAUAUCAACAUCAUAUGGUUAUAAUCACAUCAUAAAGCUAAUAAAUGAUUUAAUGAAAA